CAGGUGUAAAAGUCAAAUCUCACUUUGUUAGAUGUGAUUUUGACUUCACUAUACCUCAGUGAGGAUCAUGGCCUGUAAAGAUACAGGACAAACAUGGAAAUACUUCACAGGAUUGACUUUGGCUAUUCUGCUUAUUCAUGUAUGUGUUGGAGAAACAAUUGAUGUCCCAGAAACAAGCAUCAAAUUUCAGUUUAGCCACACAGAUGAGUCACAGCAUGAUAUACAAAAAAGAGAUGCAGGUCUGAUUGUUAUAUUUUCUACCAGUUUGAUGUUUUAGAAUUUCUGGUAUCAUUUAG